rnacentral:rRNA from 1 species
GACGAACGCUGGCGGCAAGCUUAACACAUGCAAGUCGAACGCCGUAGCAAUACGGAGUGGCAGACGGGUGAGUAACACGUGGGAACGUGCCUUUCGGUUCGGAACAACUGAGGGAAACUUCAGCUAAAACCGGAUACGCCCUUCGGGGGAAAGUUUAAGCCGAAAGAUCGGCCCGCGUCAGAUUAGGUAGUUGGCGGGGUAAUGGCCCACCAAGCCGAUGAUCUGUAGCUGUUCUGAGAGGAAGAUCAGCCACACUGGGACUGAGACACGGCCCAGACUCCUACGGGAGGCAACAGUGGGGAAUAUUGGACAAUGGGCGCAAGCCUGAUCCAGCUAUGCCGCGUGGAUGAAGAAGGCCUUCGGGUUGUAAAGUCCUUUCGGCGGGGAAGAUAAUGACGGUACCCGCAGAAGAAGCCCCGGCUAAUUUCGUGCCAGCAGCCGCCGCCGUAA